rnacentral:ncRNA from 1 species
ACCAUUCUUUCCUUGGGGUUGUGCUACUGUCUGAUGAGUGUGUAGUGAGGGCACUACUGCUAAUGCCUUCACAACCCACAUCAACUAGAACUUUGCUUUACUUUUGGUGCAGUUUUUGGAAAA